GACAGAGGGUGCAAACGUUGUUCGGUCUUACCGGGCGUAAAGCGUGUGUAGGCGGCCACGUAAGGCGGAUGUGAAAGCCCCGGGCUCAACCCGGGAAGUGCACUCGAUACUGCGUGGCUUGAGUACUGGAGAGGUUGGUGGAAUUCUCGGUGUAGAGGUGAAAUUCGUAGAUAUCGAGAGGAACACCGGUGGCGAAGGCGGCCAACUCGACAGAUACUGACGCUGGGACGCGAAAGCGUGGGUAGCAUACAGG
rnacentral:rRNA from 1 species